rnacentral:ncRNA from 2 species
UUAUGCAGAAGAGGAGCACUGCCCAGGCAGGUAUGUUGUGGAGCCUCAACUCCAACACGACAUACUCAGGGGGAGCAGUGCCGAGGUAGUUCUGAGUUGUGGAUCAGAUCUGUCGGUUGACUUGGGUUGAGUCCCAGCAACUGUCACCAGCACCGUCUGGUGAAGAGCUUCUGAGGUC